ACUCUGUAUCAAAAAACAAAAACAAAAAAACUUGACUGAGCAUACAGGUUGUGUGUGUGUGUGUGUGUGUGUGUGUGUGUGUGUGUGUGUGUGUGCAUAGCAGUAAUAGGCAUACUGGGAAAAUGGAUAAAUAUGGAGAGUUUUCGUCUUUCAAAUUGCUCAGAGUCUAGUGCAGAAAGUUUUAGAGUGAUAAAAACAAAUGCUGGGACCCACUUUCAGGGCAGAGUAGGAAAAGCAUUAAAAAAGUUUUGUCAAGUCCAGCGGAAGGAAUUGUAGCAUAUAUUCCUCCUGGAAAAUCUGAGAGAGCUUCUUAAUUAGAAUUGGUGUUUAAGCUUGAGCUUGGUGGAUUGGUAGGAUUUGAGAUGGAGAGGAGAGAAGAGUGAGGUGGUGGAAAGAUGGGAAAGGCCCAGAGCUGGCAGAAUGCAGGGUGUAUUCUGGACUAGAACCUUGGCCUAAAAAGAUUCUACAUGGAAUGGAAAAAAAAUACGAUAAAGCAGACUAGGAUCAGGUUGUGGAGGGCUUUAAAUAGGCUGGCCCUUCUGCAUAUAAUGGGAAACUGCCAAAGAUUCUGAACAGGAGGUGCCUGGAUCUAAUCUAGUGGUUGCAUAAUGGCAGAGAAGUGCAGAUUUGGCAGUCAGAUAGAGGUGGUUGGAAUCAUGGAAUCUGUCCUCUUCGUAUUAUAAACUAAGUGAAGGCAGAAUCAUGUCUCUUGUGUUUAUAUUGCCUCGCAUGUGCUGAAAAAUCAUGUGACAAAUGGAUGAUUUAAUAGAGAGAGAUGAUGAAGGCCUGAACUGCAGUGACAUUGGGAGGAGACCAUACUGGAGGGAUAUCCAAGCGAUGUUUUCAGUCUCCAAAAUACUGUAUGGGCGACCAGGAAGAAGGUGGUACUAGUAAUUAAAAUGAGUGUAGACAACUCUCUAGUGAUAGAAAUAAUGUGACAGUCACAUACAGAGUUAGUCCAGGAGGCAUUUGGAAAUGGGGAAUGGGAACUGGAGGUCAAAAGAGGAGGCUAGGACUGGGAAUAUAGAUUUGGAAUUUGUGUCUUUUGAGCUUAGUGAUGGAGAAAAUAAUAGGUAAUAUCCUCCAGGAAGACUGUGUUUGAGAGAGGAUCCAAGUUAUAAAACUUCAGGGAAAACGAACGUGGGAGAUAGAAGAUUAAGAGGCAGCAAAAAGCCAAGAGAAGUAGCCAGAAACCAGAGAGAACCACGAGGCUGUUCUGUGAAGAAAGCUGAGGAGGUGGUGGAAAGCAUUGAGUGCUGUGGAGAGGAUGGGGGAGUGAGAAGCAGCACUGGUCAUGUGUGGGUUGCUGAUUACUUCCUUAGAUUUAUUUCAGUUUUCUAGUUGUGGAAACCAGAUGAUAGUGAGUUGAGGUGUGAUCUGAGGCUACGGAUGUGGAGAAAAUAGUGUGGGCUAUUUUGAGAAAUUGUGGCAAAAGCAGGGCAAGAUGGGGAAGUUAUCUUGUUUUAUGGGGUAGGAGGUUAGAGGAAUAAGAAAAGCCACUCCAAGUUACUUAAUCACAGAUACAGAGGUAUGCAGAUCUGGAACUAGAUAGGUAUUAACAUCUGGUCCUUCAGUGUUUGAGAGAUUUAGAAACCUAGUUUGCAGGCUAGUACAUGCCUUUCUUAUCGGGGAGAAUGGUGCAGUGCAGCUUCUCAAGACUAUCUGCAUUGGAGGGCCAGGUUAAAAGAUUGUUAGUCUCCAGUGCUGUGGACUGAUACUUUGCUAAUGUUAUAAAAAAUUAAUUAUUUGGAAAAUAAUUCUCCUGUAUAUUAUGGCAGUGUCAAAUUACAAGUUUCUGAACACUUGCUUUCAGUUUCUUAUCUCAUUUGUGGAUGUUAUCAGGCUGCAGGUCUUGGUUUGGGCAGCACUAGUAUAGUGGGGAAGGGAGCAAGUGUUUUUCACAGGUGGCUCUCAUGACUUCCAUAUAGGUUAGUGAUUCCAGGUUAGGACCACUGAGUAACACAUUCCAACACUAGAAAAAGAGGGACUAUACUUAUACCAACUCCAGGUGUUGUAAAGGAGUCAGUAGACUUGAAUAAGAUGUUUUCACCCUUUUACUUACAUUGAGGUAAAGAAAAAUUGUUUAAACAUGUAGCUGCUUAAAAUAUGAGAACUAUUACCCAUCAGUUCUAAAGACUAGGAGUAUUUAGAGCAGUAUGAGAAAAUGUUAAUGAAUGCUAUCUUAUGUUAAGACAUUAUGAAUAUUAUAAAUGUUAAGUGAAGACA